CACCACAUACAUCUCCCACGCAUUCCAUAAUAGCAACUCCUUAGUAACAAUCUGUCAUGUCACAACUAUCAGACAAAUGAGUAUCUCAUAUAAAUACCUUUCAAGAUGAGGGAAAAAGGAUCUUCUUUUGCAUAGCAACCUUGAGCAUUUACUCUUUACACCUAGGCUUCUCAGCCUUCGUAGCAAUCUUACUCCUCUUGUCCUUCCUUGGUUCUCUACAUAUUUAAGUGAAUUGAACUCCUUUCCAUCACCCUGAUCUCCUCUUUGUAUCCUCCCUUAUUGAUACCACUCAUCAACAAAAAAUUAUAUUUUAUAUGUCGAAAUAUCAAUAACAAGUUAUAAUAAAUUAUUUUCUUAUAUUUUUAUCGAAAUAUAAUAAUACUAACG
rnacentral:lncRNA from 1 species